GUGUCAGCAGCCGCGGUAAAACGUAGGACGCAAGCGUUAUCCGGAGUUACUGGGCGUAAAGGGCAGGCAGGCGGGUCGAUAAGUCGGAUGUGAAAUCUCCCUGGCUUAACCGGGAGAGUGCAUUUGAGACUGUCAACCUGGAGGGCAGCAGAGGAGCGUGGAAUUCCGGGUGGAGUGGUGAAAUGCGUAGAGAUCCGGAGGAACACCAGAGGCGAAAGCGGCGCUCUGGGCUGCACCUGACGCUGAACUGCGAAAGCCAGGGGAGCGAACGGGAUUAGAAACCCCAGUAGUCC
rnacentral:rRNA from 1 species